rnacentral:rRNA from 1 species
CCAGCAGCCGCGGUAAUACGUAGGGUGCAAGCGUUAAUCGGAAUUACUGGGCGUAAAGCGUGCGCAGGCGGUUUUGUAAGUCUGUUGUGAAAUCCCCGGGCUUAACCUGGGAAUUGCAUUGGAGACUGGCAAGGCUAGAGUUUGGCAGAGGGGGGUAGAAUUCCACGUGUAGCAGUGAAAUGCGUAGAGAUGUGGAGGAACACCGAUGGCGAAGGCAGCCCCCUGGGUCAAGACUGACGCUCAUGCACGAAAGCGUGGGGAGCAAACAGGAUUAGAUACCCUGGUAGUCCACGCCCUAAACGAUGUCUACUAGUUGUUGGGUCUUAAUUGACUUGGUAACGCAGCUAACGCGUGAAGUAGACCGCCUGGGGAGUACGGUCGCAAGAUUAAAACUCAAAGGAAUUGACGGGGACCCG